CGCAACCCUGCCCACGCACGUGACCUCCUCUCUCUCUCUCUCUCUCUCUCUCUCUUGUGUGAUCCGCCCUCCCACAUAGCCGCACGAUCAUCGCCAUCUCGAGUGGUGGGAGGAGAGGGCGACGACGAGCAGUUUUGAUCUGUCAUCUUCGACGCGGAUGGCAGCAUAUCGAUCCGGCGCAGGAGGUUCGGGAUGUUCGUUGCUGCUGCGAAGAGGUAGCGAUGGGAUUCAGCGAAGGGCAAGGGUGCCGAUCUCCCUCCUCCCGCUCCCAAUCGCUGAUGUGGCCACCAUCAACCUGAUCUUCACCACCUCAGGAUUGCAGAAUUGUUCCCUUUGGUUUGAAGGAACUGGGCAGGAUUGAGAUUGAAUUGUU